rnacentral:rRNA from 1 species
GACGAACGCUGGCGGCGUGCUUAACACAUGCAAGUCGAACGGAAAGGCCCUGCUUUUGUGGGGUGCUCGAGUGGCGAACGGGUGAGUAACACGUGAGUAACCUGCCCUUCACUUUGGGAUAACUUCAGGAAACUGGGGCUAAUACCGGAUAGGAGCUCCUGCUGCAUGGUGGGGGUUGGAUAGUUUCGGCGGUUGGGGAUGGACUCGCGGCUUAUCAGCUUGUUGGUGGGGUAGUGGCUUACCAAGGCUUUGACGGGUAGCCGGCCUGAGAGGGUGACCGGCCACAUUAGGACUGAGAUACGGCCCAGACUCGUAUGGGAGGCAGCAGUGGGGAGUAUUACACAGUGGGCGGAAGCCUGAUGCAGCAACGCCGCGUGCGGGAUGACGGGCUUCGGGUUGUGAACCGCUGUCGCCUGUGACGAAGCGUGAGUGACGGUAAUGGGUAAAGAAGCACCGGCUAACUACGUG